rnacentral:rRNA from 1 species
AUACGUAGGGUGCAAGCGUUAAUCGGAAUUACUGGGCGUAAAGCGUGCGCAGGCGGUUUUGUAAGACAGAGGUGAAAUCCCCGGGCUCAACCUGGGAACUGCCUUUGUGACUGCAAGGCUAGAGUACGGCAGAGGGGGAUGGAAUUCCGCGUGUAGCAGUGAAAUGCGUAGAUAUGCGGAGGAACACCGAUGGCGAAGGCAAUCCCCUGGGCCUGUACUGACGGUCAUGCACUAAAGCGUGGGGAGCAAACAGGAUUAGAUACCCUGGUAGUCCACGCCCUAAACGAUGUCAACUGGUUGUUGGGUCUUCAUUGACUCAGUAACGAAGCUAACGCGUGAAGUUGUCCGCCUGGGGAGUACGGCCGCAAGGUUGAAACUUAAAGGAAUUGGCGGGG